GACGAACGCUGGCGGCGUGCUUAACACAUGCAAGUCGAACGGAAAGGCCCUGCUUUUGUGGGGUGCUCGAGUGGCGAACGGGUGAGUAACACGUGAGUAUCCUGCCCUUGACUUUGUGAUAACUUCAGGAAACUGGGGCUAAUACCGGAUAGGAGCUCCUGCUGCAUGUGGGGGGUUGGAAAGUGUCGGCGGUUGGGGAUGGAUUGGCGGCUUAUCAGCUUGUUUGUGUGGUAGUGGCUUACCACGGCUUUGACGGGUAGGCCGCCUGGGAGGGUGACCAGCCACCAUGGGCCUGAGGUACGGCCCAGAAUCCUACGGGCGGCAGCAGUGGGGAAUAUUGCGCAAUGGGCGCACGCGUGAUGUAGCAACGCCGCGUGCGGGAUGCCGGCCUUCGGGUUGUAAACCGCUUUCGCCUGUGACGAAGCGUGAGUGACGGUAAUGGGUAAAGAAGCAACGGCUAACUACGUG
rnacentral:rRNA from 1 species